rnacentral:rRNA from 1 species
AGUGAACGCUGGCGGUAGGCCUAACACAUGCAAGUCGAACGGCAGCACAGUAAGAGCUUGCUCUUACGGGUGGCGAGUGGCGGACGGGUGAGGAAUACAUCGGAAUCUACUUUUUCGUGGGGGAUAACGUAGGGAAACUUACGCUAAUACCGCAUACGACCUACGGGUGAAAGCAGGGGAUCUUCGGACCUUGCGCGAUUGAAUGAGCCGAUGUCGGAUUAGCUAGUUGGCGGGGUAAAGGCCCACCAAGGCGACGAUCCGUAGCUGGUCUGAGAGGAUGAUCAGCCACACUGGAACUGAGACACGGUCCAGACUCCUACGGGAGGCAGCAGUGGGGAAUAUUGGACAAUGGGCGCAAGCCUGAUCCAGAAAUACCGCGUGGGUGAAGAAGGCCUUCGGGUUGUAAAGCCCUUUUGUUGGGAAAGAAAAGCAGCAGGUUAAUACCCCGCUGUUCUGACGGUACCCAAAGAAUAAGCACCGGCUAACUUCGUG